CCGCACAAACACACACACGCACACACACAUACACAAAACACACACACAUUUAAACACUACAGCGGAGCACAUUGUUCACACUGGACUGUCUGCUACAUCUAAUGCAGUCCGAGAAAAUCUCGGAAUAAACGAAAUCUCCUGGAGAUUGACUGUAUCCGGGGAAUCAGAGGUUGAAGAGGAGGGAAGGAAUGACUGAAUAUAAGCUGGUGGUGGUGGGCGCUGGAGGCGUGGGCAAAAGCGCUCUCACCAUCCAACUCAUCCAGAACCACUUUGUGGACGAAUACGACCCCACCAUAGAGGACUCGUACAGAAAGCAGGUGGUGAUCGACGGAGAGACGUGUCUCCUGGACAUCUUGGACACUGCGGGUCAGGAGGAGUACAGCGCCAUGAGGGACCAGUACAUGAGGACAGGAGAGGGCUUCCUCUGUGUCUUCGCCAUCAAUAACACCAAGUCCUUCGAGGACAUCCAUCAGUACAGGGAGCAGAUCAAGCGGGUGAAGGAUUCGGAUGACGUGCCCAUGGUGCUGGUGGGUAACAAGUGUGACCUCCCGACCCGGACGGUGGACACACGGCAAGCGCAGGAGCUCGCCCGCAGCUACGGGAUCCCCUUCAUCGAGACCUCCGCCAAAACACGACAGGGUGUGGAGGAUGCGUUUUACACGCUGGUGCGAGAGAUCCGUCAGCACAAGAUGAGGAAGCUGAACCCGCCGGACGAGAGCGGACAGGACUGCAUGAGCUGCCGCUGCGUCGUGUCGUGAUCCAGGUGCCACACACACGAAGGACAUAACACACAGGAACCAGUCAAAACAAACCACACAUCAAACAACCACCACAGAACUGCUGAGAAACGCCUCUUGAAUGGCCAGCACUUCUGACGGCGUGUCGGGAGAAGUUUACCCAUGGUCCCGUGCGGCAGACUGCACCAGAGAGGGAGGUGACGAACAUUAGCGACGGGACGGUGAACAGCACUAAUGACUGAGCCGUUCUCCUCUCCAUCGGUGACCCCAGUCUGCCAGCGCUGGGCUCCUCCCAGGAUUUCUGCUCAAUUAUUGUUCCUGAUGUCUCAACACUGGCCUGAAGCGGACUCUGCUCGUCACAGGACACACACACCUUCCUCCGCUCCGACUGGACACUAGUGACCUCAUCCCACGACCCCCGUCCCGCCGCAGGAAAACACACACACAUAUACACAUACACACGUGUGUGUUCAUGUCUGUAGAAAUAAUCAGGAGGAGUGUUUAACAGUGUGCUGUUAAUGUGUACGCUACCAACGAGCGUUUCCAGUAGACUAUUAAACAGACUGAACUUUCCUGAAUAAAAACUCCCGAGUUGUUUGGAGAAAGUGUGUGUGGAAAUCUCAUGAUGUUGAAAAGAUCUAACAUUUACCUCAAUAAACGAAAAAAAUAAAAACCUU